CGGGGUCCGGGGCAGAGCAGCCGUGGCUGGUGAUAACAGGGCUGUGUGCCCGGGUCUCCUGCUCCCCGCCACCCCCUGCGCUCUGCAACCUGGGCAGAGCCGCGCAACCGGCUCCUGCCUGAUGGGGGCUGGCCGCUGCCCGUGGGAGAGCGGCAGGGACAUGCUCUCCGCUGAGCCCGCUCCCCCCGUCCCACUGCACCCGGUCAGAGAACAAAGGACAGUCAGGAUCCAGCCCAGGACACUGCCUCAGGUACAGUGCAGUACACCAUUGGCUUUAGAAGGCUCACCAAAGUAGAACACUACUGGAUCUGCUCAAGGGUGAUGGCCACUAUUGGAGACAGGAUACUGGACUAGAUGGACCUUGGAUCUGAUCCAGUCUGACAAUUCCUAUGUUCCUGUGUAAAAGUGAAGGAAUAAGGAUAGCGUGAUUAGACUUAUCACCUCCUUUGAGUGUGCUCAGUUGUCUUAGUCAUUGUGUUAGGGGUUUUUCUUAAGCUAGGCUAGAUGGCAUAGAAAUCCCCAAGAAACUACAGGUUUGAACCCCCUCCCGCAUCUGUCAUUGGGGCUUGACAGAAAACUGACACAUAGGUAAGGUGCAAACACAAACAAUUUGUUAAAAGAAGGACCCCCAAACUAUUAAACAAAUAAACAAAACCACUCAGUCAUUGAACUAACAAAGGCGUUAAGCUAGGAACCCAAAAAGGUACACACAGUGGAAUAAAAGGUAUAACAAAAGAUUAACUACAUCACCAUGUUCUCAGGUGAGGAUCACAUGGACACAGGAACAGAGCUGGAACAGGAGACCAUGACAGCUGGGACCGACGAGAACACAGGAUACAACAGGAUGGGUCUUUAGGUGGAACAGGUAGGUAGACAUUCAGGUAGGCUCAUCUUCUUCCACCAGGUGUUCCGAUGCUUUGCGUCAUCCUGUGUGGGUGUAUGCGGAUGCUAGUCUGACUAGAUGUUCUGUCAGGUGAGCAGGAGCAAUGCGAUAGCAGAUGGAACAAUGAUGGGCACUGGUUGCCUCUUAGACAGCAACUCAGGAGUGUGCUGCUCAGCCUUAAAUAUUUUCUUGUUGCCAGGUGGAUUAGAGGGUCAGAUGACCCUUACCUUUCUCACCUUUGCCAAAAAGGGCACCAAACUGGGCAACAAGAAGGACACCCAAUAUGGAGGAACAACAACGACUCCGUAAAUUCAAAAUGGCUAACUGAGGGAAAAAUCAUAAAACAGAAAAAUUCUCUACAGUUGGUGUGACAGCUAACAUAUGAGGACAGGCUCAUGUGUGCUACUGCAGUAAGUUCUGUCUCUGCAAUAAUAAUAUGGGUUUGCUGUCAAAUUACAGAAUCAGGAUAUUUAACACUCUUUGGAUGAUGAAUUAGGAUCAUGGCCUGGGAAUCUUUGGCCUAGAGUCUCCAUUGCUCAAAUUAUGGAGCUUGAAUUUUGUUGUACUUUUUUGCCUGUUACUUUUCAGAUAGUUCAGGAAUAUAAAAGAAUUUGUUAACAACAGCAAUGUGUGUACCAUGCAAGAUGCAACUGUGAUACAUCUCCAUAUUACCAGCUUUGUGAUCCUGCAGGACUUCCUUUUCCCAGAUGCAUUUGCAAAUGUUUGUUUUACAUUUAUACAAUCCAGUGAAAAGAAUGAUCCUGAAACAAAAUGAUGAAGUGUACCUAUCUAAGAAGUCAAUUGCAAAGGGGGAAUGGUUUAUACACAGAAUAGUCUGUCCAAGAUGCUAUCAGUCCACACAUCUGUAUUCAUUACAGCUAUUUAAUUAUUUUCUUAAAAACACAUACAAAUUAUUUCUAGGAGAGAAGAAUGUUUUAAUCAAGUCAUAAGUCAGGAAAUAUGAACUUUAUUAUUGAUUAAACAUUUGAAAAGGAUUUUCUCAAUAAAGCAAACCACAUUUCCUGUCCUCUUUUUCUUUUGUGUUUUCAUUAAACAGUUGAAUGUCUGAAUCUUAUUGUAUAUUGCAUUUUCUUUUUAUUACUUUAUAUUACAUUGUUGUGUUCAUAGACAAUGAUAUAAUUGCCUU